GAUGAACGCUGGCGGCGUGCUUAACACAUGCAAGUCGAACGAAGCACUUUAACCUGAUUCUUCGGAUGGAGGGUUUUGUGACUGAGUGGCGGACGGGUGAGUAACCCGUGGGUAACCUGCCUCAUACAGGAGGAUAACCGUUAGAAAUGACUGCUACUACCGCAUAAGACCACAGAGCCGCAUGGCUCGGGGGGGAAAACUCCGGUGGUAUGAGAUGGACGCGCGUCUGAUUAGGUAGUUGGUGGGGUAACGGCCUACCAAGCCAACGAACAGUAGCCGAGCUGAGAGCGUGACCGGCUACAUCGGGACUGAGACACGGACCAAACUCCUACGGGAGGCAGCAGUGGGGAAUAUUGCACAAGGGGGCAAACCCUGAUGCAGCGACGCCGGGGGAGCGAAGAAGUAGUUCGGUAUGUAAAGCUCUAUCAGCAGGGAAGAAAAUGACGGUACCUGACUAAGAAGCACCGGCUAAAUACGUG
rnacentral:rRNA from 1 species